GAUGAACGCUGACAGAAUGCUUAACACAUGCAAGUCAACUUGAAUUUGGGUUUUUAACUUAGAUUUAGGUGGCGGACGGGUGAGUAACGCGUAAAGAACUUGCCUCACAGCUAGGGACAACAUUUAGAAAUGAAUGCUAAUACCUGAUAUUAUGAUUUUAAGGCAUCUUAGAAUUAUGAAAGCUAUAUGCACUGUGAGAGAGCUUUGCGUCCCAUUAGCUAGUUGGAGAGGUAACAGCUCACCAAGGCGAUGAUGGGUAGCCGGCCUGAGAGGGUGAACGGCCACAAGGGGACUGAGACACGGCCCUUACUCCUACGGGAGGCAGCAGUGGGGAAUAUUGGACAAUGGACCGAGAGUCUGAUCCAGCAAUUCUGUGUGCACGAUGAAGUUUUUCGGAAUGUAAAGUGCUUUCAGUUGGGAAGAAAAAAAUGACGGUACCAACAGAAGAAGUGACGGCUAAAUACGUGCCAGCAGCCGCGGUAAUACGUACGUCACGAGCGUUAUCCGGAUUUAUUGGGCGUAAAGCGCGUCUAGGUGGUUAUGUAAGUCUGAUGUGAAAAUGCAGGGCUCAACUCUGUAUUGCGUUGGAAACUGUAUAACUAGAGUACUGGAGAGGUAAGCGGAACUACAAGUGUAGAGGUGAAAUUCGUAGAUAUUUGUAGGAAUGCCGAUGGGGAAGCCAGCUUACUGGACAGAUACUGACGCUAAAGCGCGAAAGCGUGGGUAGCAAACAGG
rnacentral:rRNA from 1 species